UUAACUAUUAUAUAGUACUCAGACAGUAUAGACAAACAGAGUUUAGGUCCUCUGGCAAGCGCUCGCCGGCCGGAGCCAGCAGCCCGAGGGCAGGCUUGCCAAAGCAACAAAGUGCCAUAAACACUUAUUGUGAAUGAUCCUUCCGCAGGUUCACCUACGGAAA
rnacentral:misc_RNA from 1 species